rnacentral:rRNA from 1 species
UACGUAGGUGGCAAGCGUUGUCCGGAUUUACUGGGCGUAAAGCGUGUGUAGGCGGACCUUUAAGUAGAAAGUGAAAGGUUGGAGCUCAACUCCAACACUGCUUCCUAUACUGGAGGUCUUGAGUGCCGGAGAGGAAGAUGGAACUGCACGUGUAGCGGUGAAAUGCGUUGAUAUGUGCAGGAACACCAAUGGCGAAGGGCAAUCUUCUGGGACGGGAUACUGACGCUGAGACACGAAAGCCA